UAUUGACUUGCUAAAGUCUCU
rnacentral:piRNA from 1 species